CGCUGGCGGCAGGCCUAACACAUGCAAGUCGAGCGGAUGAAAGGAGCUUGCUCCUGGAUUCAGCGGCGGACGGGUGAGUAAUGCCUAGGAAUCUGCCUGGUAGUGGGGGACAACGUUUCGAAAGGAACGCUAAUACCGCAUACGUCCUACGGGAGAAAGCAGGGGACCUUCGGGCCUUGCGCUAUCAGAUGAGCCUAGGUCGGAUUAGCUAGUUGGUGAGGUAAUGGCUCACCAAGGCGACGAUCCGUAACUGGUCUGAGAGGAUGAUCAGUCACACUGGAACUGAGACACGGUCCAGACUCCUACGGGAGGCAGCAGUGGGGAAUAUUGGACAAUGGGCGAAAGCCUGAUCCAGCCAUGCCGCGUGUGUGAAGAAGGUCUUCGGAUUGUAAAGCACUUUAAGUUGGGAGGAAGGGCAGUAAAUUAAUACUUUGCUGUUUUGACGUUACCGACAGAAUAAGCACCGGCU
rnacentral:rRNA from 1 species